rnacentral:rRNA from 1 species
UACGUAGGGUGCAGGCGUUAAUCGGAAUUACUGGGCGUAAAGCGUGCGCAGGCGGUCUGCUAAGAGAGGUGUGAAAUCCCCCGGGCUUAACCUGGGAACUGCGCUUCUAACUGGCAGGCUAGAGUGUGGCAGAGGGGGGGUGGAAUUCCACGUGUGAGCAGUGAAAUGCGUAGAGAUGUGGAGGAACACCGAUGGCGAAGGCAGCCCCC